rnacentral:rRNA from 1 species
CAGCACGUAAUGGUGGGAACUCUAGUCAGACUGCCCAGAUCAACUGGGAGGAAGGUGGGGACGACGUCAGGUCAGUAUGGCCCUUACGCCUUGGGCUGCACACGUACUACAAUGCCCAGUACAAUGAGAACCGAGACCGCGAGGUGGAGGAAAUCUACAAAACUGGGCCCAGUUCGGAUUGGAGGCUGCAACUCGCCUCCAUGAAGCCGGAAUCGCUAGUAAUGCUGCAUCAGCUACGGCAGCGUGAAUACGUUCCCGGGUCUUGUACACACCGCCCGUCACAUCAUGGAAGCCGGUAGCACCCGAAGUAUCGUACGAUCCUAAGGUGAAGCUGGUAACUGGGAUGAAGUCGUAACAAGGUAGCCGUAGGGGAACCUGCGGCUGGAUCACCUCCUUUCUAUGGAGUA